ACAGCUGCACAACAGGAAGAAAUGCAUGCAUUGCAGGUUCUCUGACAUUGCAGCAUCCGAGUCCUUGAAGAAGAAGCACCAGUUGAGUUUCUGCCUGUCACACACAAGCCCUGGCCUGGGUGGGUGGUAACAGCUUGGUGCAACAGCCUGCAGCUUCAGCUCCAGGCAGCUGGGGAAUAGACACUCUCACUCUUUCUCAGCAUCCCAUCGCUUGUACUUAAACAUCUUUAUUAAUGGCUUGAAGGAGGACACAUUAGCCUUGGUCAAGAGCACCUAUUUAGUUCCACGCAAGAGGAAUGAAUGCAGGAUAACCUUCCUCCUUAGAUGACAAUGGAGGAUCCAGCACAGAGACAGGAGGAGC